rnacentral:rRNA from 1 species
GACGAACGCUGGCGGCGUGCUUAACACAUGCAAGUCGAACGGAAAGGCCUGCUUUCCCUUGUGGAUUGCGGGUACUCGAGUGGCGAACGGGUGAGUAACACGUGAGUGAUCUGCCCCCAACUUGGGUAUAAGCCUGGGAAACUGGGUCUAAUUCCCGAUAGGACUGCAGGGUGGUGCCUGCGGUGGAAAACGAUUUUCUAGUGGUUGGGGAUGGGCGGGCGGCCUAUCAGCUUGUUGGUGGGGCAUUGGCCUACCAAGGCGGCGACGGGUAGCCGGCCUGAGAGGGUGGACGGCCACAUUGGGACUGAGAUACGGCCCAGACUCCUACGGGCGGCAGCAGUGGGGAGUAUUGGGGAAUGAGCGGGAGCCUGAUGCAGCGACGCUGCGUGGGGGAUGACGGCCUUGGGGUUGUAAACUACUUGCGACCGCGAGGAAGCCACCUGGUUGGAAGGGUGGUGACGUUAGUGGUAGAAGAAGCACCGGCUAACUACGUG